rnacentral:rRNA from 1 species
UACGGAGGGUGCGAGCGUUAAUCGGAAUUACUGGGCGUAAAGCGCAUGCAGGUGGUUUGUUUAAGUCAGAUGUGAAAGACCCGGGGCGUCAACCUCGGAAUAGCAUUUGAAACUGGCAGACUAGAGUACUGUAGAGGGGGGUAGGAAUUUCAGGUGUAGCGGUGAAAUGCGUAGAGAUCUGAAGGAAGUACCGGUGGCGAAGGCGGCCCCCUCGGACAGAUACUGACACUCAGAUGCGAAAGCGUGGGGAGCAAAACAGGAUUAGAUACCCCUGGUAG